rnacentral:rRNA from 1 species
CCUACGGGCGGCUGCAGUGGGGAAUAUUGGACAAUGGGCGAAAGCCUGAUCCAGCAAUGCCGCGUGAGUGAUGAAGGCCUUAGGGUUGUAAAGCUCUUUUACCCGGGAUGAUAAUGACAGUACCGGGAGAAUAAGCUCCGGCUAACUCCGUGCCAGCAGCCGCGGUAAUACGGAGGGAGCUAGCGUUGUUCGGAAUUACUGGGCGUAAAGCGCGCGUAGGCGGUUUUUUAAGUCAGAGGUGAAAGCCCGGGGCUCAACCCCGGAAUUGCCUUUGAAACUGGAAAACUUGAAUCUUGGAGAGGUCAGUGGAAUUCCGAGUGUAGAGGUGAAAUUCGUAGAUAUUCGGAAGAACACCAGUGGCGAAGGCGACUGACUGGACAAGUAUUGACGCUGAGGUGCGAAAGCGUGGGGAGCAAACAGGAUUAGAUACCCCAGUAGUC